rnacentral:tRNA from 1 species
UGCGGGGUAGAGCAGUCCGGUAGCUCGUCGGGCUCAUAACCCGGAGGUCGCAGGUUCAAAUCCUGUCCCCGCUACAA